GACGAACGCUGGCGGCGUGCUUAACACAUGCAAGUCGAACGAAGUGGCGAACGGGUGAGUAACGCGUAAUCAACCUGCCAUUCAGAGGGGGACAACAGUUGGAAACGACUGCUAAUACCGCAUACUGAAGGAGGGGAUUGCGUCUGAUUAGCUAGUUGGAGGGGUAACGGCCCACCAAGGCGAGGAUCAGGCGGCGGGCUUGGAGGGUGAACGGCCACAUUUGGACUUAGACACGGCCCAGACUCCCACGGGUGGGAGGAGUGGGGAAUCUUCCGCAAUGGGCGAAAGUCUGACGGCGCAACGCCCCGUGAGUGAUGACGGCCUUCGGGUUUGAAAGCUCUGUUAAUCGGGACGCGGUACCGGAAUAGAAAGCCACGGCUAACUACGUGCCAGCAGCCGCGGUAAUUC
rnacentral:rRNA from 1 species